CGAAGAUCUGGACUUCCUGAUUUCCAAUCAGGUGGAUUUCUGAACAACGGUUACUGAGCAAAAUACAGCAGGACAUCAAGCUUGGCACAAACUUUUCUUGACCUGUGCUGUAGGCACCAUGCAGAGUUCCUGCCUUUGAGGAUUUUAUUUUGUUUGAGGAAAUAGACGAACACAGUGACUUCAAUGCCGUCCUGGAGAUAUUUCAGGCAGCGGGAACCUUGUGGACAAAGAUAUUGAAGCAGGGAAGUGUAGGGCUUGUUUCAGGAAAGGCGAUUAGAACUACAUGAUUGAAACAGGAAGGUCCAAGGUCAAGGCCAUCUCUCUGGAGAACUGCAAAAGGCACCAUCCCAUUGUCUUCUUGGGAGAAGAUUUGAAGGGAGAAAUGACAUCAGAUUUGCCCAUUUCUAAAAGGACAAAAGCUCUAUAUUUUCCUGCAUCAGCAAAACUGUCAACUGGAGAUAAGGCGUUUGUAACUAAUUCCCAAGCCAGUUUCUAAAAGAAGAAGACAGCAUGAUCUCGAUGGCUCACAAUCCUGAAAAUAUAAUUGACUGUACUGCAGCCGGGGACGGAGCCAGGAAAUGGAGUGAGAUGGCUGCUCAUCAAUAAAAACAUUAUUGAAAAGGAGGCCCCGUCCUCU
rnacentral:lncRNA from 13 species